rnacentral:rRNA from 1 species
CAGUCGCCGCGGGAAUACGAAGGGUGCAAGCGUUACUCGGAAUUACUGGGCGUAAAGCGUGCGUAGGUGGUGGUUUAAGUCCGUUGUGAAAGCCCUGGGCUCAACCUGGGAAUUGCAGUGGAUACUGGGUCACUAGAGUGUGGUAGAGGAUAGUGGAAUUUCCCGUGUAGCAGUGAAAUGCGUAGAGAUCGGAAGGAACAUCUGUGGCGAAGGCGACUAUCUGGGCCAACACUGACACUGAGGCACGAAAGCGUGGGGAACAAACAGGAUUAGAGACCCGUGUAGUCCCUGUCUCUUAUAC